CUCCAUGAUUUACAGGUAGCAACACCUCAUUUUCUCCAUGUAGAAGUCAUAUGUCACCCAGGCACUACCCAGGGCCACACACACACCCAGCACCCACAUCCCAGCCCAAACCCUGAGCCAGCUCACCACAAGUCACACACAGAGAGCAAUGCCACAUACUGCCACCAGACGUGCUCCCUGCACAACACAGGCAGUGUCCCCAAUCUUCCACAGUUCCAUGGUGGCACAAACCAGAGAGAUGGGCAUAUGGAACUGGAACUGGUCAGAGAAGCAAUGCAGCCAGCUGUCCUGCUCCACCUGAUCAUGGCACCAGCUGCAUUCAAACCAAACCAGCUCCAUGAUAGCCUAGACCUCUUCUCUGAGCUUCACAAAGAACCUUUCAUCCUCCAGCAGAGAUGAAAACCCUUCCAUGCUCCUUCAGGAGGCAGCCAGCUCCAGCAGCUCCCUUUGGAAUCCUACCCCAGGAGCCAGGUCACUGCAUGGCUCUGCCCAUAGGCCCCUUGCACAGUCCCUGGGUGAACAGCUCCAGCUCCUGCUCCAAGCCCUGCCUGCUGCCAGCUUGUCACGUUUUGGAGUAUUUGAUUUCACUCUUAAGAGCACCUGUCUGGCAGUGGUACAGGCAGGCAGAACCUGCCUGCUCUUUGUUCUUGGCCAGGCAGAGCACGGAGCAGGACACCUGCCUCGGUUUCCCUCUGAGCUCAGGUGCAGGGCUGUGAGCUGGGGGACUGGGUCCAUCCUGGAUCAGGAAUGGGGGGCUGAAAGGCUGAGCCCAGCCCUGCUCCCACUGGAGGCUCCUCAUCUCCAGGGCUCAUCUCCCCAAGCAGGAUACUGAUGCCAGCAGCCAGCUACUAAUUGGAUCUACUUAAAUCAGCAGCUACGUCUGCAGACACAGCUGAAACACAAGCUUGAGCAGGAAGGAGGAUAAUGCAAUAAAUUCAAACAGCUCUCCCCGAGGGAAUCACACAACCCCCUGAAACUUCCCUCUUUGCAGAUACAGCCCAUUACCCUUCCCUGGGCCUGCUGUGCCAGUGCAGAGCCAAGCAGCAGUCGAAAAAGUAACCAGCCCAAAGCCCCCUGAAACACCAAGCUCCCCCAGCUUCCUGCUCCCAGCAGCGGAGGAAAGGCAGACCAGUUACAGCACAACACUCAAACAGUCCCUGUGGCCACGGGAGCCUCUCUGGUUAACGCUCAAAUCCCGCUCCUCCCUCCCUCCCUCCCUGAGGCAGGCAGCAGCGCUGAGUGCACUGGGUUUCCCAUUAAAGAGAUCCUGGGAGACAGCACUGGGCUGGUACACGUGAGCACGUGUCCGAGAGAAGACACGGGCGGCUGGAGAGAUGCUGCCUGCACCGAGCUGCAGCGGGCGUUCCCGCCUGCAGGCAGUCCUUCCCAGCACUGCUCAGCCCUCCAAUUCUUUUUUUUUUUUGCUAACUAAAUUAAAGAUGAGGAUAAAAUAAGCAAAAUACCUAAAAAUAAAAAAUAAACCGAGCAUUUCUACAGCACAACUAGGUCACAGCUCCCCAGCAUGUGAGUUGUGGCAGCCACGGCUCAGCCCCUUGAGCCUCCUGGGUUCAAAACUGACAUCUCUCUUAAAAGGCUGCUCCCGAAACCCACACCUGCUCUCCGGUGAGCCCAGCUGGAGCCAUCUGCUAACGGCUCUGCCUCCCAGCAGCCCUCGGCACCCUCGUUCUGCUGUGGCACAGAAACCCUUCUCCCCACCUGACCACCAUGGGUGCCAGCCCGUGCCCUGCGCCUGCCCCACUGCCCCCCUCCAUGGGUGCACUGUGGGAGAAGCUCUCCCACGCCUCUGGAAUGCAUGUUCCCUAACUUGAGCCCUUGGCAUCUCAGGAAUGAUUAGGAGCUGGACUUCAGAGAGAUCUGGCACCAAGAAGCCCUCCCGCACAUCCUUCCAGGUGAGGAGCAGGGAGGAGGAAGCCUCCCUGCCCAAGGUCAGGGCAAUAAAGCCAGGAAUGCCCUGGCACUGAGGGACUCUGCUUCCCUUUCAUGUCUCCACUCUCUGCGUUAAUCUUUAGUGGCUCAGAACAAUAGUGUUUAAGGGCAACAUCCCUCCCUUGUGGGAGGGUGGAGCGGGAGAGCAGAGGGUGGAGGACAGUGGCUGCUCUCCUGCCACCGCAAGGCAGAGCCACCCUCAGUGAAUACCUUCUCUCUGAAUCAGCAGUUCAGCAGGUCUGCAACACUUCUACAACUGAUAUCCAUCCCUUCCCUUCCCCCAGCUCCUCCCGGGAAUACUCUGGCUUUACAGCUAGUGGGGAAAGAGCUGCUAGAGAAACACUCCUUGUAACGUCAAGAUGGGACUCUGCUUACAGCCAUCAGCUGCUUGGUAAAAACCAGAGGAAACCAAACCUUCUCAGCUUCAGCCAAGGUCUCAGAGCACCACAACACCAUUCAGCUGCACCCAGUGUGUGCUGCAGGCGUGUUGCUGCUCCUGGGGGGAACCACGUACACAAACCAUACCAGAGCUCCACGGAAUCAGGCACACACAGAAAGCUGCAGCUUCCACUGGGGAAAAGAGAGCUCCCACCCACCCUUUCUGCUGUGCUGGGACACCCCACUGCUGCUGAAGCAGAGAGAGACCCCGGGCAGCGCUCCAGGGACACGGUUCCAGCGUCAGAGAGGAGCAGGAUGAGCAGGCGGAAUGACAUUACUGAGAGCAGCUGUGAACACAGAGCAGCAAGAAACAGUUUGUUAAUUAUUUCACAGGUCUUUUUUUAAAUGACACUCAGCUCUUCGGAUUAAAGAGCCUCGGAGUGCUUUACGAAUCAGAGUUGCCAGUGGCUCCCCUGGGAGUGAAGGAAAUGCUAUCCCUCUCGCUCAAAGACCCCGGGGUUAAGUGGGCUGCUCUGAGCCACAGGCAGGAGUUUGGCUUUCCAGGCGCCUGCUGUAAUCACAGAUCUAAGGAACGUAAUCAAACUGCACCACACACCGAGAGGCAGCAAGGAAAACAGGCAGGGCCCCAAAGAAGGAGAACCAGUAAAGGGGGUAAAGAGCAAAGCUCUGAAAUCAGCCUCUGCACUGCUCUUGGUCUAGCGGCAGGAAUGCUGCUGUGGGCCGGGCAGGAAGCUGCAGUGGAAGUCAUUCCAAUGGCAUUUCCUGGAGAGCGCUGCAGAAAAGCCUCCCAGGUCGAAGGCUGGCUGAGGAGCUGCCAGGGAUCUGCACGCUGAGCCCAGAUCUCCAGCUGUCAGUGAGGAUACAGCUACCUGGGCUGGUUGCUCCAGGCAGGACAGCCUGAGUCAGGGCACGGCUGGCACCUCCCACAGCCAGGGAGGAAUACCCAGGACUGUGAAGGGACAUGGGGAACCCCACUGGCAGGAGGACA